AGGCCUCAAAUAAUGUGUGACUACCCCCUAAUUUAAGCAUAAU
rnacentral:rRNA from 1 species